ensembl:lncRNA
AGGUAAUAGAUGGCCUAAUCUAUUUGCAGUGUGAGAAUUUCCCUCACAUUUAUCCAAUACCAAGCCAAAUCACUGGAAAAAUUUUGGAUGGGUCCACAAGAGCACAAAGUGCAUACUUUUUGAAGAAAAACAUCUUUCAGAUGUAUGAGAAAUUGAUUGGAGCCUGUCUGGAAAACGGCAGCCACUGGACCUUGUUUUUUUGUGACAUACCCAAGAGGACCAUAGUCUAUAUGAAUUCAUUUAGCGAGUCGGAGGUCAGAAAAAGUGCGGUGUUGAAAAACUGGAGCUCAUUUGCUUCAGCAAGAGGCUGCGCUGGAGAGUGGACCUUGUCACAUGUGAGCCACCCACAUCAACAGGAUGGGAACUCAUGUGGAGUGCAUGUCAUAAUGUUUGCCCAAUCUCUCAUUGACGGUAAAACACAAGUGGAGGAGUACAACACUGAAAUCACAAAGCUCAGGUCCCGACUUUGCCACUACUUAUUUUCCUCAAUAGAUCGAACUAGGAAGUGCAGUCAGUGCUGGUGUGUGAUUGCAGCCAAAGACCGGGUGCAGUGCCAGAAAUGUGGUGCAUACAAGCACAUGCGUUGUUCAAAGUCUGUUUGUGGCAUCUGUGUCUUCUGUGAGAGGCCGUAAAGCCAAACUGCCCGCAAUGAUUCUUGACAGGCCUAAGAAGGCCAAAACUAAAGUAACAGUGUUUAGUGUUCUGAGUGAAGAGGAGGCUGGGGAGCUAGCCCUCGGGUUUGCCGGAAGAUUGGCCUGCGAUGUCACAACAGACAUGGUCUGUAAAGGCAUCGACCAUUCAAGUGCUGAUAUGACAAAACAGACUCUUCUCAAAAUCCAACACAACCUUAAACAUGAGCUGACUGAUUCCUCAACCUUCAGUUUGCUGACACACACCUUUGGCCCCGCUGCACUGGAUUCUGUCAUUUCAUUCCUGUGUGAAAAACUUGAUCUUGUCUCUUAAAUAAUGAAACCUUUUGUGACUUUUGUUUGUUCUGUAAAUCAGAAUCUUGAAAAUUGUUCAUUGUUGUUCUAAGUUUGUGUUAACUAUUUGGCAAAAAUGAUUGGUUCCUAAUCCAAACAGCAUAAUGACUGUUCUAACACAUAUCUUAAAAAUGCUAC